GACAGGGGUCUCGAGCGUUAAUCGGAAUUACUGGGCUUAAAGGGUGCGUAGGUGGGUCCGCAAGUGCUCCGUGAAAUCCCCCGGCUCAACCGGGGAACUGCGGGGCAUACUGCGGGUCUUGAGGAAGGUAGGCGCCGAGGGAACAGUAGGUGGAGCGGUGAAAUGCGUAGAUAUCUACUGGAACGCCGAUGGUGAAGACGCUCGGCUGGGCCUUUCCUGACACUGAGGCACGAAAGCGUGGGAAGCAAACAGG
rnacentral:rRNA from 1 species